AUGCACCUGCCAUGCGCUGAGGACAAACAGAAGCAGAAAAGCAAGGUCUCUGAUUUUAAGGGGCUGCUCUUGGUGGAGUCAAAUUCUGGGGAAGAUCGGAAGAGGUUGGUCCCUGGAGCCCCAGCAGUUCUCAAAGCAUCUGGAAUGAGCAGACACUUGCUUGCAGCUGCUGGGGCUGGGGCUGGGCCCGGAGGGGCAGGCUUGCUGAGGCAUGCAGGGAUGUAAAGUUAGAGGAAGUGUAGCCAGCAAUUUGGAAAAUUUAGGAGUUCCUGGGCUGUCAUUGCGUUUUUCUGGUUGUCAUUGACUUGCGUCUGUAUUCUCCCCCAGAGUAGGUAAGAGGUGGGGAGGGUGGAGGGAGGGCAUUCCUGUGUGCCAGGCCCGCACAUCUGAGCAGAUGAAGAAAGAGCAGAGGAGGGGGGCAGGGAUUGUCUGGAAGUGUAAGGGUCCUAUUCGCUCCCAAGCGCCAGAGGGUGUGUGCCAGGGCCUGGAGCCGUACCCGCCAGGUGCAACAGAGCACCGCCAUGGGAAAGCCUCAUCAACAACUCCCUUGAAAUAAAAACAUGCUUUUCAGGGAAACAAACACUGAUUCGGUGGGCGGGUAGCAGAGGAUUCACGUUAUAAUCAUAAAGAAAGGCAGGGCUGCUGAGCAGUGUAUGUGUGUCAGAAAAGAAGAGGGGAGAUGAGGCGGGAAGGAGUGCAAGCCCUGGAGAGCCUCGAACUGCUGGUCAGACCCCGGGGUGCACAUUUUGGAGGGGGAAGAAGAGGCAACUCCUAGAUGCUGGGUUUUCUUCUAGAGGUCACUGGAGAGCUCAUCACAUCUCCAUGGAAGUUGCACCGGAGCAGCACUCUCUCACUCUGACACACACACACACACACAUACACACACACGAUCAUGCACGAUCACACAAGCUCACACGUUCACACACAUGCUAACACUCACCACACUCACAUAUAUAUGCACAGAAUCAUGCACAACACACACUCUCCCUCUUACACACACACGAUCAUGCACCAUCACACAAGCUCACACACACACUCACCUCUGAUGACCACAUUCUCUUUUAGAUAAUACUGCAAAUCAAGUGAAACAAUGUCUUCGCUAUUCUCUGCUCUGACCUAUUUUGUUUGUUUUAUAGUUUAACUCUCAGAAGAUUGCUUUAUUUCUCUGAAUCCAGGCGCCGUGGGGCCCCUCACUAUGGCCCAGAACUCCUUCCUGCUUCUAAAGCUCCCAGAUGGUUCUGCCCAGCUCCUCCUUUGACAUCCCAAACAGAUAGGAGUCUUAAAUGGUCCAGAGUGUUGAUGGUUCCUUUAUUUUUUCUUUAAACUGCUCCCUUAAAGCAAGAUCAGACAACUUUGCAUCCAGUUUCCAUCCAUCUUGGGUUUAAGGGCUGCUGUUUGUUUCUUAUGUGGGGGAAUCUCUCCUAGCCAAAUUCCGUUUAACCGACGCAGUGGCUAACCUCUGCUUUCUAUUCCUGCAAACAGCUGCUGCCCACCGCAUGCUGGGCCUGCGUUGCUAGCAAGCCUUCCACUGGCGUUCUUUUCGGCUUUUCAAUUUACCACCUAACCACCAGUCUCAAUAACCUCAGAUAAGCAAGUUUCUGCUGUGCUGUGCUUGUUUUCAAAAACUGAAAAUGUUAUCAACCCGGAGUCAAGUCCAGCCUUAGACAGACUGUAAAUACCCAAGGGGGCCAGACACACCCAAGGCCACUGAGUUUGCAGUAAUUCCAGGAAGGGGCAUUGCAUGAGCCUGUGGGGUGCAGAAGGCUUCCUGGAGGAGGUGAGAUUGCUGAUGAGCCUUUGUUAUGGAUUGAAUGCUGCCCCCCCCCCAUUCAUAUGUUGAGUCCUAGCCCUGGUACCUUAGAACGGACCCUACUUGGAAAUAGACUUAUUACAGAUAUAACUAGUCCCACUGGAGUAGGCAGGCCCCUAAUCAACAGAGCUGAUGUUCUUACCCAGAGGAAAUCUGAAGACAGGUGCACACGAGAACGCCAUGCGAAAUGGAAGUGAUGAGUCUAUAAGCUGAAGAUGGCCAGCAAACCAGCACAAGCCAGGAGAGAGGCCUGGAACAGUCUCCCUCACAGGAAGAGGGAAGGACAGAGCCUCAAGAGGGACCGACUCUGCUAACUCCUUAAUCUCAGACUUCCAGCUUCCAGAACUAUGAGACAACACACUCCCAUCAUUGAAGCCACAUAGUUAGGGGUCUUCUGCUACAGCAGCCUGGCAAGUGAACACAACCCAAAGGACAGGUAGGAAUUUGCGAUGUACAGAGAAGGUACCUGGCCACCAUUUGUCGAAAAUAAUAAAUCUGAGCAAUUCCUACCCCUAUCCCUCCUGUCACUUACAGAGCUGUUAAAAAUUAUGCAUCUCCGGGAAAGAAUCUCUGAGCCUGAGGACAGGUCACUAGAAACCUACAAAACUGAAAAGCAAAUAGAGCAAAGACUGGAAAAACCAGAACAGAACAACCUGGGACUGUAGGACAGCUACCGAGCUGUAGCGUAUGUGUAUGG
rnacentral:lncRNA from 1 species